GAAUUGUUGUAAUGAAAAAAAAAAAAAAUAUCGAGCCAAAAAAAAAAAUUCAUCGAUUUACGUUCAUAUUGAAGUGCAUCAACCAAACCAAACAACAACAACAACAGCAAGAACAAAUCAAACAAUAAUUGAUCAUAUGUGUAGGUGGUGGUUAAAAGACAUGAAUCUAAUCAUGUAUAACGCCCAAUUUUAGAGAGAGAGAGAGAGAGAGA